AUGGGAAAGCACGCAUUGGUGAUAUACGUUCUUGCCGCCUGCAACGUUCUGCCUGUGAUUCUCCAAGGCUUCUAUUUGGGUCAGCCUCAGAACAACAUUGUAAGUUUACUUCCCUAAAUGAAAUGACAGUCUAUUUUCCAAUUAUGAAGUCUAUUUCCCAAUUAUUAUAGUGAUUGAAUUCUGAGUUAUGUUAUGCAAUUGGCAGCUGAGGCUAAUUGGGGUUCCAUCGUGAAGGGGUCUAUCCUUUGGAAUAUAUAGAAUAGACCACAUAGCUCGUGAUGUCGAUUGGUAUUUUCUAUUAAAAGAGGAAGGAGCAAUAAAAUGGAGAGGUAUAUGGUCGCUUCAUGUGGUCAAUCAAGCACUCGCUCGGCUCGUAUCUAAUAGAGAAAAUUAGUUUAGUUUAGUUUUGUGUAAAAUAUUUAGAAGGAAUGAAAUUGAAGUUAUAUAUUAUUAUUUUGGUGCUCUGCCUCUACACAUCACUCCACUCAUUGUAUACCAUGUUUUUAAGCCCGCCCAAUAUAAUUCCACACAAAAGCAGAACUCCUACUGCGUGUUAGUUUUGGAUGAUGAUGAUGAUGAUGAUGACCUUAAAAUCUUAUUGAUGACGACCUUAAAAUCUUUCCUAUACUUUAUGAAGGAAAGUUAUAUGAUAUCAUUUGAUUGAUUGAAUGAAUGGAUUAUCUACUUUUCUAUGCAAAUAUAUUUUAU
rnacentral:lncRNA from 1 species